rnacentral:rRNA from 1 species
CAGUAGCCACGGGAAUACAGAGGGUGCGAGCGUUAAUCGGAUUUACUGGGCGUAAAGCGUGUGUAGGUUGUUGUUCAAGUCAGUUGUGAAAUCCCUGGGCUCAACCUGGGAACUGCUUCUGAGACUGAACGACUAGAGUACGGUAGAGGGUGGUGGAAUUUCCGGUGUAGCGGUGAAAUGCGUAGAUAUCGGAAGGAACAUCAAUGGCGAAGGCAGCCACCUGGGCCUGUACUGACACUGAGACACGAAAGCGUGGGGAUCAAACAGGAUUAGAUACCCCUGUAGUCCCUGUCUCUUAUAC